GACGAACGCUGGCGGCGUGCUUAACACAUGCAAGUCGAACGGAAAGGCCCUGCUUUUGUGGGGUGCUCGAGUGGCGAACGGGUGAGUAACACGUGAGUAACCUGCCCUUGACUUUGGGAUAACUUCAGGAAACUGGGGCUAAUACCGGAUAGGAGCUCCUGCUGCAUGGUGGGGGUGGGAAAGUUUCGGCGGUUGGGGAUGGACUCGCGGCUUAUCAGCUUGUUGGUGGGGUAGUGGCUUACCAAGGCUUGGAAGGGUAGCCGGCCUGAGAGGGUGACCGGCCACAUUGGGACUGAGAUACGGACCAGACUCCUACGGGAGGCAGCAGUGGGGAAUAUUGCACAAUGGGCGGAAGCCUGAUGCAGCAACGCCGCGUGCGGGAUGACGGCCUUCGGGUUGUAAACCGCUUUCGCCUGUGACGAAGCGUGAGUGACGGUAAUGGGUAAAGAAGCACCGGCUAACUACGUG
rnacentral:rRNA from 1 species